CACACAUUGACAGACAUACACACACUGACAGAAAUACAGGUCAAAAUAUACACUUGCAUACGCACCCUCCAGUUUCCUACUUAUUGGGUGCUAGAGGGUGGUUUCCCUUGUGUCCGGUGUGCAGGCUGAAGAUGUUAGGAGUUAGGGGAUGACUCUUGCAAUCUGCACCACAUCAACUCCUGCCUUCUACUCUCUGCUCCCUCUGUGCAGUUCCAGUCUUUCCUGGCCUGUGGCCCGUGGGCCGUAUAUUGUGCAGGUCUUAUG